CACCGCGGUUAUACGAGAGGCCCAAAUUGAUGCUCCACCGGCGUAAAGUGUGAUUAGAGAAAUUAUAUAUUAAGGCCAAAUACUCCUCAUGCUGUCAUACGCUAAUAGGAUCCAAGAAGCCCAACUACGAAAGUGGCCUUAUUACACUUGAACUCACGACAGCCAGACCA
rnacentral:rRNA from 1 species